rnacentral:pre_miRNA from 1 species
AAUGGAAUUGCUGGGCCAUAUGGUAACGGUUUAACCUGUUGAGAAACUGCCAGACUGUUUUUCAAAGUGGCUGUACCAUUUACAUUCCCAUCAGCAGU